CCUACGGGGAGCUGCAGUGGGGAAUAUUGGACAAUGGGCGAAAGCCUGAUCCAGCCAUGCCGCGUGUGUGAAGAAGGCCUUCGGGUUGUAAAGCACUUUCAGUGGGGAAGAAAGCCUUGGGGCUAAUACCCUCGAGGAAGGACAUCACCCACAGAAGAAGCACCGGCUAACUCCGUGCCAGCAGCCGCGGUAAUACGGAGGGUGCGAGCGUUAAUCGGAAUUACUGGGCGUAAAGCGCGCGUAGGCGGUCUGAUAAGCCGGUUGUGAAAGCCCCGGGCUCAACCUGGGAACGGCAUCCGGAACUGUCAGGCUAGAGUGCAGGAGAGGAAGGUAGAAUUCCCGGUGUAGCGGUGAAAUGCGUAGAGAUCGGGAGGAAUACCAGUGGUGAAGGCGGCCUUCUGGACUGACACUGACGCUGAGGUGCGAAAGCGUGGGUAGCAAACAGGAUUAGAUACCCGGGUAGUC
rnacentral:rRNA from 1 species